AUGACCUCCACCACCCGCAAAGAAGUCAGAGACACCAUGAGCACAGAGCAAUGUGAGACUGCCCCAGGAGAGAGUAAAGGAGGUAAAAAUAGACGUAGAGAUAAGAAUGAGAACGAAUCUGAAAAAAGAGAACUGGUAUUCAAAGAAGAUGGUCAGGAGUAUGUUUAGGUGAUCAAAAUGUUGGGAAAUGGACGGCCAGAAGCAACGUGUUUCAGUGGUGUAAAGAGGUUAGGUCACAUCAGGAAAAUUGAGAAAAAAGGUUUGGAUAAAUACCUCUGACAUAAUACUGGUUGGUCUCUGAGACUACCAGGAUAACAAAGCUGAUGUAAUUUUAAAAUACAAUGCAGACAAAGCUAGAAGUCUGAGGGCAUAUGGCAAGCUUCCAGAGCAUGCUAAAAUCAAUGAAACUGAUACUUUUGGUUCAGGAGAUGAUGAUGAAAUUCAGUUCGAUGACAUUGGAGAUGAUGAUGAAGAUAUUGAUGAGAUCUAAACUGAACUCAAGAUUUUACAUUCCAUCUUUUCUGAAGAUUGUCCUACAAUUUGGAUUUUGGCCAUGACAAAGAUUAAAAUUUCAUUAGCAUGAAUACAGUUUGUUAAAACAGACUGAUUUGUUCCUAAGGUAUUUUUAUUUAAAACUGGUAAUGCUGAAUUAUCUUAAGUGAGAUGUUAAGCCCACUUUGCUCUUUUAAUAUAGUGGAGCUUAAGGGUAGAAGACCACGUCUACUAUUUAAA